rnacentral:rRNA from 1 species
AGCGAACGCUGGCGGCAGGCUUAACACAUGCAAGUCGAACGGGCACCUUCGGGUGUCAGUGGCAGACGGGUGAGUAACGCGUGGGAACGUACCUUUCGGUUCGGAACAACUCCGGGAAACUGGAGCUAAUACCGGAUACGCCUACGGGAAGAUUAUCGCCGAAGAUCGGCCCGCGUCUGAUUAGCUAGUUGGUGAGGUAACGGCUCACCAAGCCAACGAUCAGUAACUGGUGUGAGAGCACGACCAGUCACACGGGCACUGAGACAC